UAUUUCUUUUUUCAAUAUUGUGAAGCUGAAAGAAUUUUUUAUUGACGCUCUGGGGCUUCCAGGGACACUAACAGAGUAUAGAUUGUUCGGUGUGAUGGAAGAGAAGGAGCGAGAGAUUGAUGAGAACACCACAAUAGACGAUAUAUACCAAUAUGUUCUCACUGGCAGCUUCAUCAUGAAAAAAAUGCCAAAACAACGCUGAAAGACAUCGCUAAUUGGAAUUUCAAUUUCUUUCUCACAGUGAGAAAGAUCAAAUUUUGUAUGUUAAGUUUCCCAUUUUUUCUUUUAAAACAUUCUGUACAGAUACAAACAUUAAGAAAAUAUUUUAUUUACACAAUUAAAAAGCUUAUUAACUUGUUCA
rnacentral:sRNA from 1 species